rnacentral:rRNA from 1 species
UACGUAGGGGGCAAGCGUUGUCCGGAAUCAUUGGGCGUAAAGCGCGUGUAGGCGGCUCGGUAAGUCUGCUGUGAAAGCCCCGGGCUCAACCUGGGAACCGCGCUUGAGACUGGCAUGCUCGAGUUCGGGAGAGGAUGGUGGAAUUCCCAGUGUAGAGGUGAAAUUCGUAGAUAUUGGGAAGAACACCGAUGGCGAAGGCAGCCAUCUGGACCGACACUGACGCUGAGGCGCGAAAGCGUGGGGAGCAAACAGG